rnacentral:misc_RNA from 1 species
GGCUAUUUAUAUCAUUUACUAACUGCUUAGUCAUAACACAGCACCUAAAUGUUUAUUCUAGUUUCUUGUAUUUCAAAUAGUAACUUGUUGAAUGAGGGCUUGUGGUGGCUUACUUAAGCCCAAGUUUUACGUUGGAUGAUCUUAGGAUCAACUAGGUUUAGAUUGUUUUUAUUAUGCAGGUUUAAUGUUCUGAUGGUUUUUCUGUUGGUCACUGUUAAUAUCUGUUACGUAGCAGAAUUUCCAAGACCCAAACCUGCAGAAUAAGAAUAAAGAGAAGGGAAUAACAAUAGAGGAAGGAUAUUGAGAAAGAAGGGAUGAGGAAGGGAGAGAAAGAAGUAGAGAGAGAGAGAGAGAG